rnacentral:rRNA from 1 species
UACGGAGGAUGCGAGCGUUAUCCGGAUUUAUUGGGUUUAAAGGGUGCGUAGGCGGAUCAAUAAGUCAGUGGUGAAAACCUGCAGCUUAACUGUAGACUUGCCGUUGAUACUGUUGGUCUUGAGUAUGGUCAAGGUAGGCGGAAUGUGUAAUGUAGCGGUGAAAUGCUUAGAUAUUACACAGAACACCGAUUGCGAAGGCAGCUUGCUGGGCCAUUACUGACGCUGAUGCACGAAAGCGUGGGGAUCGAACAGG